CUCCUCACGUGACUUCACACAAAAGCACACACCUACACAUAUAUAAUCCACGGACUGGCACAAAUACAAAGAGGGGAUUGAAACACAAAAAUAAAAUGGAGAGGGUCAAAGACAGAGAGCAGCAACAGUGAGAGAAGGAGAGAGAGGAAUUUUAGUCCAAAGAUCGAGCGAGCAGAGAUAAAAAAAAAAUAACAGGGGAAUUGGACAAAACAAAGAACAAAGGGGAACGACAAAAAUAGGGAGGAGAUUAGAAAACCAUUGAAACCUUCACCUUCUUCCUCAAUUCAAUCACUUAAUUCAUCCAUGGAUCUUACUGUUAAGAAGUUUAUUUUUCCGCCAUAGCAGAUCUAUCUACACCCCCAGUAGACUACCGGCUCUUAGCCUUCACUAUCGUGAAAUCCCAGUUGCAAUCUCGGUAAAACCCAGACACCAACAGUUUAUUUUCCAACUCUCAUCAUUAUCGAGUUUCGAGUUUUCCGGCGAGGUAUGUAAACAAAAGGAAUUCGUGUCAGUGAGGUUUCUGGUUCGAGGACCGUCCGGCAUCUGUAAUUCAGGUUCCAAUCGUUUGAGGUCUAUUUCUCUCUUAUUUUGCUGAUUUGCUUAAUAUCGUGCUUUCCUUUGUUUCGCUAAUUGUUGCUUCUCUGUCUUGUUGAUCGUUUGAGUUGUUGUUCUAUUGUUAUGUUUGGAGUGUCUCAGUAAUACUUGCUUACUCUGUUUCGUUCUAUUGGUCAUCAUUUUUGGUGUGGUUUUGUUUAAUCUGUUCGGGUGGAUUUUGAUGCAUAAAAGGAGUUUCUGAUUCUUUGUUUUGUUGUUUCAGUUAGAGAUAAAAUGUUUAAGUCCUCCUAGUUACUACUCUAACAAUAAUACUAUGAUUAAAUUAACAUAAUUAAGUAGAUUGGAUGGAAUUUUGAUUGUUUCAGUUGUGGGAAUUAGAUUUUAAAAUAAGGAGGAAAUUGGGGUUAAAUAAUUUUAUUGCUCUUUUAUUCUUACUCUCAUGAAUUUGAUCGAUAGUAGCAUGCUUAGGCCGUUAACACCUGGGUAGGCAAACUUUAGGAUUUUUAUUAGUUUGAGGUGAGAGGUCGUUCCUUUAGUUAAAUUCAUCCGGAGAAUGUCCCGAAGGAUUUGUAUAUAUUUUAUUCUGGGGAAUACGCCGUAGUAUUCUGUAAUUGGAGGCUAAGAGUAGAAGUUGUAGUGUUUUAUUCUUAUUUUAUUUUUCUUUAUUAGGAGGGGACGACCUCGAGCCUCUUAUGUGUUAAUUUUCCCAUUUCUGUGUUUAUUACCUCAAUUCGAACAUUUUAAAAGCCAACUUGAUCAUGUACGCAACCGUACUAGUUACGGGACUCGGGGAAUGUCUAACACCUUCUCCCUGAAGCAAAUGAACCCCCUUACCAGAAUCUCUGGUGCAAACUUAGUUUUGGAGUCUCAAGUGUUUUGAAAGGGAAAAAAUUAUUUUUAGAAAAACAGUGACCUGACAUACCGAGAUCAAAUAUCAGGUGGCGACUCUGAGUUAAUCCUUUUGAACACAAAUUCUUUGUCACUUUCAAAAAUUGAAAACCCUUUGAACUUUACAAAUUCCUUUUAUUAUUUUAAGAGGGGUUACUGAAGGUUGAAAAAAAAGGGUGUGACAGACCCCCCUUCUCCAUUAGUUCAAAUUCCUUUAGUUUUUCCUCCUCCUUCAAGUCAUUUCAUCCAUGACACUUCUCCUCAACACUCACUUACACCACUAUCUACACCCACAUCUCACACCAAUCCUAGUUGUCUUCCUACACACCUUAAUUCACCCGUUGUUUCACCUGCUCCUCCACCUGCUUCCCUUAAUUCCCCUACUCCUUCUCCUGUUUCUUCCUCUCCAUCUAUUCCCCUCAGGAGAUCAAACAUAAUAUAGGCACCCUGCCUUGUUAUCUUAAGGACUAUGUUUGCAAUAACAUCUAUUUCACUGAUCUUACCACUUCCUUUUUUUUCUACUCCUUGUUCACCACCUCCAUUCUCUUUUUCUGCCCUCGCCACCUCUAAUCAACAUCUUAGUCAUUCUCUCUCUACCAUUUCAGAACCAACCACUUACAAUCAGGCCCAUUCCAAUCCAGGUUGGGUCCAAGCCAUGGAUUCUAAACUUCAAGCUUUGGAAGAGAAUCACACAUAGGAUGUGGUUCUCUUACCUUCUGGCAAGAAAGCUCUUCCUUGUAAAUAGGUCUACAAGUUCAAGCACCAUGCUAAUGGCACUAUUGAAAGGCUAAAUGCCAUGUUAGUUAUCAGGGGUGAUGUGCAGAGAGAAGGCAAUGACUACACAGAAACCUUCUCUCCAGUUGUCAAAAUGACUACUAUCAGGUGUUUAUUUUCUAUUGCAGUCAAGAAAGGGUGGCCCAUUUCUCAAUUUGAUGUAAGUAAUGCCUUUUUACAUGGGGAGUUACAGGAAGAGGUUUACAUGAAAUUUCCUGCUGGGUUGUCUUCCCAGGCCUAACUAUGUUUGUCGACUUAAAAGGUCUCUUUAUGGCUUGAAGCAAGCUUCAAGACAAUGGUAUGCAAGACUUGUUGGAGCCCUCGGUUUUAAAGGAUUCUCUUCAUCCCUAAACGAUUACUCCCUAUUCUUUAAACACACAGGGGAUCUCAUUUCCAUUCUUACUGUAUACGUAGAUGAUAUACUAAUUACAGGCAAUAAUUUUAAUGAAUUAUCAGAUCUUAAAGUAUUUCUACAUUCUGAGUUUAAAAUGAAGGACCUUGGGCCUCUUCACUACUUCUUAGGCAUGGAGAUUUUGAGGGAGCAUGAUGGAAUUAUUAUAACUCAAAGGAAAUUUACCACUGACUUGCUUGCUGAAUUUGAUUGCUUCUCUCUCCCACUGGUUUCUUCUCCACUUGAUCUAUCUUCCAAGUUGAUUGCCAAUUCUGGAGCUCUUUUAUCUGAUGCUUCCCUCUAUCGUCAUCUUGUUGGCAAGCUCAAUUAUUUGACUCACAAGUGGCCUGAUCUUUCAUUUGCCAUUUUGACUCUCAGGAAAUAUAUGCAACACCCUUGCAUUGGGCAUUUCACAGCAGCUUAUGCGUCCUUCGUUAUUUUCGCUCUAAUCCAAGCCAAGGUUUGUUCCUCAAUGCUCG
rnacentral:lncRNA from 1 species